rnacentral:rRNA from 1 species
UGCUGGGCCCUCUGGGUCCAACCUCCCACCCGUGUCUAUUGUACCUUGUUGCUUCGGCGGGCCCGCCGUUUUCGAACGGCCGCCGGGGAGGCCUCGCGCCCCCGGGCCCGCGCCCGCCGAAGACCCCAACAUGAACGCUGUUCUGAAAGUAUGCAGUCUGAGUUUGAUUAUCAUAAUCAGUUAAAACUUUCAACAACGGAUCUCUUGGUUCCGGCAUCGAUGAAGAACGCAGCGAAAUGCGAUAAGUAAUGUGAAUUGCAGAAUUCAGUGAAUCAUCGAGUCUUUGAACGCACAUUGCGCCCCCUGGUAUUCCGGGGGGCAUGCCUGUCCGAGCGUCAUUGCUGCCCUCAAGCACGGCUUGUGUGUUGGGCCCCCGUCCCCGGUUCUCCCCGGGGACGGGCCCGAAAGGCAGCGGCGGCACCGCGUCCGAUCCUCGAGCGUAUGGGGCUUUGUCACCCGCUCUGUAGGCCCGGCCGGCGCCAGCCGACACCCCAACUUUAUUUUUCUAAGGUGACCUCGAUCNAGGAGGNUCCAAU